AGAGUUUGAUCCUGGCUCAGGAUGAACGCUAGCUACAGGCUUAACACAUGCAAGUCGAGGGGCAGCAUGAACUUAGCUUGCUAAGUUUGAUGGCGACCGGCGCACGGGUGAGUAACACGUAUCCAACCUGCCGAUGACUCGGGGAUAGCCUUUCGAAAGAAAGAUUAAUACCCGAUGGCAUAGUUCUUCCGCAUGGUGGAACUAUUAAAGAAUUUCGGUCAUCGAUGGGGAUGCGUUCCAUUAGGUUGUUGGCGGGGUAACGGCCCACCAAGCCUUCGAUGGAUAGGGGUUCUGAGAGGAAGGUCCCCCACAUUGGAACUGAGACACGGUCCAAACUCCUACGGGAGGCAGCAGUGAGGAAUAUUGGUCAAUGGACGAGAGUCUGAACCAGCCAAGUAGCGUGAAGGAUGACUGCCCUAUGGGUUGUAAACUUCUUUUAUACGGGAAUAAAGUGAGGCACGUGUGCCUUUUUGUAUGUACCGUAUGAAUAAGGAUCGGCUAACUCCGUGCCAGCAGCCGCGGUAAUACGGAGGAUCCGAGCGUUAUCCGGAUUUAUUGGGUUUAAAGGGAGCGUAGGCGGACGCUUAAGUCAGUUGUGAAAGUUUGCGGCUCAACCGUAAAAUUGCAGUUGAUACUGGGUGUCUUGAGUACAGUAGAGGCAGGCGGAAUUCGUGGUGUAGCGGUGAAAUGCUUAGAUAUCACGAAGAACUCCGAUUGCGAAGGCAGCUUGCUGGACUGUAACUGACGCUGAUGCUCGAAAGUGUGGGUAUCAAACAGGAUUAGAUACCCUGGUAGUCCACACAGUAAACGAUGAAUACUCGCUGUUUGCGAUAUACAGUAAGCGGCCAAGCGAAAGCGUUAAGUAUUCCACCUGGGGAGUACGCCGGCAACGGUGAAACUCAAAGGAAUUGACGGGGGCCCGCACAAGCGGAGGAACAUGUGGUUUAAUUCGAUGAUACGCGAGGAACCUUACCCGGGCUU
rnacentral:rRNA from 1 species